rnacentral:lncRNA from 1 species
UUGGAGAGAAAGCUGUCUCAAUGAUGAAUCCUCCACCGUGGAAGUAAACGAGGAGAGGGAGUUUCGAGUCGGUCUCGGCGGCGGCUUUCUCCGGGAGGUAAAUACGGACGGAUAGGUUGUUGUCGGCAGAAUAAACAACGUCCUUGGAAACGACUCCGUUUUGUGGUUCGGAAGAAGGUGGGACGGUGGCUUCACCCAUGAGUCGCUCGAUGCGGCCACUCUUGUAGAUUUUGAGCAAUGGAGAGCAGUCGACGGCGAUCUCGGAAUCCAUGGUUAGUUGAUUGGUUGGUGAGUUAUGAUAAGAUUGGUGUGUGUGAUUUAUAUUGAGAAUGGAGUCUUUAUAACUCUAUUGGAGAUUUUGGUAUGGUUGAGACACGUGAGUUGUGUCAUUCCAUUCUUACACGGAAGAUAUGUUUGCCACACAAUUCAAAGCACACAUAUGGCAGUUGUUGACUAUGUGACAACGACUGGCACCUCUCUUUUUUCCUUUUUUAGUUUUUUUGUUUGUCUUUGGAGUUUGAACUUUGAACAUUCACUUUUAUUUCCUUUUUUGUCUAUUUAGUCUUUGAAGUUUGAUCCCUUUUUUUUUGUCUCAUUUUAAUCUUUUUUUCUCUAUUGACUACAUUUUUAUAGGUUUUGUACUAUAUUUUAAAUAAAAAUACUAGAUGAAUUUUAGUGGAUCUUGGUCUAUUUUGUUUGGUUUGGUUGUACCAUUGAGUAAUGUUACCAUUUAUUUAGACAAUCAAUCAAGACGUUAAUUAAGUGGAAAAACAAAAAUCAAGAUUACAAUAAAAAUAUUUAGUGGGCAGAAUUAAACAUCUCUUAUUAGCAAUACAAUUGAAUAUAAUGAUGUUGUAAGCAACAUGCAAAUUACUGAAACAUUAGAGAAAGUGAGACAGUGACACAUCUCAAACACCAAACUAAAAAGCACAAUGUUACUUGUCUCCCUUGAUAAACCCUGCGAAUCUGUGCACGAGUUCAUGAGCCUUUUCAGAAUUAGGAUCCCUCAAAUGAAAAACAUGACCUUCUCCCUUAGUCUCCACCACGUCCAGUACUUCUCCGUUCCAACGGCUCUUACCAAGCUUCUCCCAGUAACCCCAACCUUGCCUCACCAACGCGUCUUUCUCAGCCACCAUUACCAAAACCUUACCACAACCCAACCCGGACAAAUCCACCGACUCUGAUUGCACCACGUUGAUGAAUGGAUCAUCUGAUCCAUCUUUGCUAUUGGGACUAGCCAACGUCCAGACCGACUCGAUCCACGUCCUUAUUGCUACAUCCGUCGUCUCCUUGUCGUCGACUGGGGUUUUUGACCAGAAAUAAGGAUGAACUAAGAUGAUUCCAGAGAUUCCUGACUCGUUCAAAGACUCGGGACUGAGUUUAUCUUUCGCAGCUUUCAUCGUCAUGUGAUGCGUUAUGUUCGCUCCGGCGCUAUCUCCGGCGAGGAACACUUUGCUGAAGUCGGCGUGUUUGUUCAACCAAUCUUCUGAGCCAGAUCCGGCGAUGUGGGAGAAAACCCAUUUGAGAGCUGUCCAAGAAUCAUCGUAAGAAGUAGGAAUCGGAUGCUCCGGUGCACGUCGGUAAUCCACGGAGACCGCUACACAGUCUGACGCUGAGACAGCCGCCGUGAGGAAAGUGUGGUAAGUCGGGGAGAAAGCGGUUUCAACGAGGAAUCCUCCGCCGUGGAAGUAGACGAGGAGAGGGAGUUUUACAGAGGCUUCGGUCUCGGCGGUGGCGGCUUUCUCCGGGAGGUAAAUGCGGAGGGAGAGGUUGUUGUCAGGAGAAUAAACGACGUCCUUGGAAACGACUCCGUUUUGUGGGUUGGAAGAAGGUGGCACGGUGGUUUCACCCACGAGUCGCUCAAUGCG